AGAGUUUGAUCCUGGCUCAGAACGAACGCUGGCGGCAGGCUUAACACAUGCAAGUUGAACGUGAUUUGUUUGGUGCUUGCACCGAGCAAUGAAAGUAGCGCACUGGUGAGUAACACGUGGGAACGUACCUUUUGGUGGGGAACAACAGUUGGAAACGACUGCUAAUACCGCAUAAGCCCUGAGGGGGAAAGAUUUAUCGCCGAAAGAACGGCCCGCGGAAGAUUAGGUAGUUGGUGGGGUAACGGCCUACCAAGCCGACGAUCUAUAGCUGGUCUGAGAGGACGAUCAGCCACAUUGGAACUGAGACACGGUCCAAACUCCUACGGGAGGCAGCAGUGAGGAAUAUUGGGCAAUGGAGGCAACUCUGACCCAGCCAUGCCGCGUGAGUGAAGAAGGUUUUCGGAUUGUAAAGCUCUUUCGGGUGUGACGAUGAUGACGGUAGCACCUAAAGAAGCCCCGGCUAACUUCGUGCCAGCAGCCGCGGUAAUACGAAGGGGGCAAGCGUUGUUCGGAAUUACUGGGCGUAAAGGGAGUGUAGGCGGUUAUGUAAGAUAGUGGUGAAAUCCCAGAGCUUAACUUUGGAAUUGCCAUUAUGACUAUGUGGCUAGAAUUACAGAGAGGAUAGUGGAAUACCCAGUGUAGAGGUGAAAUUCGUAGAUAUUGGGUAGAACACCAGUGGCGAAGGCGACUAUCUGGCUGUAUAUUGACGCUGAGGCUCGAAAGCAUGGGGAUCAAACAGGAUUAGAUACCCUGGUAGUCCAUGCUGUAAACGAUGAGUGCUUGUUGUCGGUGUAAAAUCGGUGACGAAGUUAACGCGUUAAGCACUCCGCCUGGGGAGUACGGUCGCAAGAUUAAAACUCAAAGGAAUUGACGGGGACCCGCACAAGCGGUGGAGCAUGUGGUUUAAUU
rnacentral:rRNA from 1 species